GAUGAACGCUGGCGGCGUGCUUAACACAUGCAAGUCGAACGGGAAAUAUUUCAUUGAGACUUCGGUGGAUUUGAUUUAUUUCUAGUGGCGGACGGGUGAGUAACGCGUGGGUAACCUGCCUUAUACAGGGGGAUAACAGUCAGAAAUGGCUGCUAAUACCGCAUAAGCGCACAGAGCUGCAUGGCUCAGUGUGAAAAACUCCGGUGGUAUAAGAUGGACCCGCGUUGGAUUAGCUAGUUGGUGGGGUAACGGCCCACCAAGGCGACGAUCCAUAGCCGGCCUGAGAGGGUGAACGGCCACAUUGGGUCUGAGACACGGCCCAGACUCCUACGGGAGGCAGCAGUGGGGAAUAUUGCACAAUGGGGGAAACCCUGAUGCAGCGACGCCGCGUGAAGGAAGAAGUAUCUCGGUAUGUAAACUUCUAUCAGCAGGGAAGAUAGUGACGGUACCUGACUAAGAAGCCCCGGCUAACUACGUG
rnacentral:rRNA from 1 species